rnacentral:misc_RNA from 1 species
UACUGAACUGUUGACACGAGUUGUUGCUGGUCCUCAAAUGGGGGCAUGUGCACGCUCUGUUUACACAUCCACUCACACCUGUGCACCCCCUGUAGUUCUAUGGCAUGGGGGAUCUUGUCUUCCUGCUGUGGUUCUGCAUCUUUACAACACACAAUGUGAUAGAGUCUCAUGGAAUGUACAUCGCGUUUAACGCAAUACAAUACAACUUUCAGCAACGGAUCUCUUGGCUCUCGCAUCGAUGAAGAACGCAGCGAAAUGCGAUAAGUAAUGUGAAUUGCAGAAUUCAGUGAAUCAUCGAAUCUUUGAACGCACCUUGCACCCUUUGGCAUUCCGAAGGGUAUGCUCGUUUGAGUGUCAUUGUACUCUCACACUCCCAAUUCUUUGAACUGGGAGCGGUGGACUUGGGUGUUGCCGCUUGACUGUGGCUCACCUCAAAUGCGUUAGUGCACCUCUUGGUUGGACAUAGUACGGCGUGAUAAGUGUCUUCGCCGGCACCUCACUUUGAGGGUGGCUGAUCGGGAGCUCUGUGCUUCAAACUGUCUUCGGACAAUAACUGACAACUUG